rnacentral:tRNA from 1 species
GGGCCUGUAGUCUAGUGGUAGAACACGGCAUUCGCAUUGCUGAGACGCGAGUUCGAUUCUCGCCAGGUCCACCCCC